GAUGAACGCUGGCGGCGUGCCUAAUACAUGCAAGUCGAGCGAACGGACGAGAAGCUUGCUUCUCUGAUGUUAGCGGCGGACGGGUGAGUAACACGUGGAUAACCUACCUAUAAGACUGGGAUAACUUCGGGAAACCGGAGUUAAUCCCGGAAAUUAUUUUAAACGGAAUGGUUCAAAAUUGAAAGAGGGCUUGCCGGUACCUAUAGGAUGGAUCCGCGCUGCAUUAGCUAGUUGGUAAGGUAACGGCUUACCAAGGCAACGAUGCAUAGCCGACCUGAGAGGGUGAUCGGCCACACUGGAACUGAGACACGGUCCAGACUCCUACGGGAGGCAGCAGUAGGGAAUCUUCCGCAAUGGGCGAAAGCCUGACGGAGCAACGCCGCGUGAGUGAUGAAGGUCUUCGGAUCGUAAAACUCUGUUAUUAGGGAAGAACAUAUGUGUAAGUAACUGUGCACAUCUUGACGGUACCUAAUCAGAAAGCCACGGCUAACUACGUG
rnacentral:rRNA from 1 species